rnacentral:rRNA from 1 species
GUAACGGCGAGUGAAGCGGUAACAGCUCAAAUUUGAAAUCUGGCUCCUCGGGGCCCGAAUUGUAAUUUGUAGAAGAUGCUUUGGGUCUGGGCCUGGCCUAAGUUCCUUGGAACAGGACGUCGUAGAGGGUGAGAAUCCCGUAUGCGGCUGGCGCCCGUGCCCGUGUAAAGCUCUUUCAACGAGUCGAGUUGUUUGGGAAUGCAGCUCUAAAUGGGUGGUAAAUUUCAUCUAAAGCUAAAUAUUGGCCAGAGACCGAUAGCGCACAAGUAGAGUGAUCGAAAGAUGAAAAGCACUUUGGAAAGAGAGUUAAACAGUACGUGAAAUUGUUGAAAGGGAAGCGCUGGCAACCAGACUUGGGCGCUGUUGAUCCGCUAGGGUUCUCUCUAGGGCACUCGGCAGUGCGCAGGCCAGCAUCGGUUUGGGGGGUUGGAGAAUGGCUGGUGGAAUGUGGCUGUCUUUGGGCAGUGUUAUAGCCACCGGUGGCAUGCAGCCUCCCCGGACCGAGGACCGCGCUUCGGCUAGGAUGCUGGCGUAAUGGUUGUCAGCGACCCGUCUUGAAACACGGACCAAGGAGUCUAACAUCUAUGCGAGUGUUUGGGUGUUAAACCCAUACGCGGAAUGAAAGUGAACGUAGGUGAGAACCCGCAAGGGUGCAUCAUCGACCGAUCCUGAUGUCUUCGGAUGGAUUUGAGUAAGAGCAUAGCUGUUGGGACCCGAAAGAUGGUGAACUAUGCCUGAAUAGGGUGAAGCCAGAGGAAACUCUGGUGGAGGCUCGCAGCGGUUCUGACGUGCAAAUCGAUCGUCA